rnacentral:rRNA from 1 species
CGUACAUCCAGAGAACUUAGCAGAGAUGCUUUGGUGCCUUCGGGAACUCUGAGACAGGUGCUGCAUGGCUGUCGUCAGCUCGUGUUGUGAAAUGUUGGGUUAAGUCCCGCAACGAGCGCAACCCUUAUCCUUUGUUGCCAGCGGUUCGGCCGGGAACUCAAAGGAGACUGCCGGUGAUAAACCGGAGGAAGGUGGGGAUGACGUCAAGUCAUCAUGGCCCUUACGGCCAGGGCUACACACGUGCUACAAUGGCGCAUACAAAGAGAAGCGACCUCGCGAGAGCAAGCGGACCUCAUAAAGUGCGUCGUAGUCCGGAUUGGAGUCUGCAACUCGACUCCAUGAAGUCGGAAUCGCUAGUAAUCGUAGAUCAGAAUGCUACGGUCGAAUACGUUCCCGGGCCUUGUACACACCGCCCGUCACACCAUGGGAGUGGGUUGCAAAAGAAGUAGGUAGCUUAACCUUCGGGAGGGCGCUUACCACUUUGUGAUUCAUGACUGGGGUGAAGUCGUAACAAGGUAAGCGUAGCGAG